rnacentral:rRNA from 1 species
AUGAACGCUGGCGGCGUGCCUAACACAUGCAAGUCGAGCGGGAACUUUCGGAAUGCGAUUUCGGUCAAGUGAAGAGAGGGAGAGCGGCGGACUGGUGAGUAACGCGUGGGCAACCUGCCCCAUACAGAGGGAUAGCCUCGGGAAACCGGGAUUAAAACCUCAUAACGCCAUGGAGUCACAUGUCUCUGUGGCCAAAGAUUUAUCGGUAUGGGAUGGGCCUGCGUCUGAUUAGCUGGUUGGUGGGGUAACGGCCUACCAAGGCGACGAUCAGUAGCCGACCUGAGAGGGUAAUCGGCCACAUUGGAACUGAGACACGGUCCAAACUCCUACGGGAGGCAGCAGUGGGGAAUGUUGCACAAUGGGCGAAAGCCUGGUGCAGCAACGCCGCGUGAGCGAAGAAGGCCUUUGGGUCGUAAAGCUCUGUCCUUGGGGAAGAUAAUGACGGUACCCAUGGAGGAAGCCCCGGCUAACUACGU